AUGCAGCUCAGGACGGAAGCUCAUAGUCAUUGUCAGAACCACAUCAGGACCUGGGAUAAGGUCCACAGAGGGAUUUUGUGGCAUUCCACUGGUCCUCAGGCUCUUUGCAACCAUAUCAGAUGGGAGUUAACCAAUCAACCGGAAUCAGGCAGUGAGAGCCUGGCAGGGAGAGACUUUGUCCCUUUCAUCUCCGCAUUCCUAGCACGGCUACCAGCAGACAUCCAGGAAGUGUUCAUCGAAGGAGUGAAGGAAAAAAGGACCGAGGUUGGACCCCACCGCCCCUGCGUGUGCUGAGGCCUCAGGACCAGGAUAGAUGCUCUGAGGAAGAGGAAUAGGACACCUGGACACAUGUCGAUUCUUGUGCAACAAAAAAUAUCUGCAUGUACUAUCACGAUGGUGACGCCCAACGCCAGGGCUGCCUGGGACUCAGCAGCAGCAGCCCACACCCCCUGAUCUUGUUUAAAUUCAAGGGUGACCCUUGCUCUGCAAAGAGGUGAAGGCUGGGCUGUCUGUUCUGAGGACUCAUGUGUUACCCUUAGGUCUGCCCCUUCCUCCAUGUUCUGCUUUCCAGGUGAGGGACCAGGAAGCUGGGCAGGGUUGUCAUUGGGCCCACACUGACUUCUCUUUUGUUCUGUGAAUUAGUUACCUAUGGCUGUGUAGCAAAUUACUACAAAACACAGCAGCUUAAGAUAAUAAACACUCAGGAGUGCCUGGGUGGCUCA
rnacentral:lncRNA from 1 species